GAAAUGCGAUAAGUAAUGUGAAUUGCAGAAUUCAGUGAAUCAUCGAACCUUUGAACGCACAUUGCGCCCGCCAGUAUUCUGGCGGGCAUGCCUGUUCGAGCGUCAUUUCAACCAUCAAGCCCCCGGGCUUGUGUUGGGGACCUGCGGCUGCCGCAGGCCCCGAAAACCAGUGGCGGGCUCGCUGUCACACCGGGCGUAGUAGAUUUUUCGUCUCGCCCAGGGCGUGCUGCGGGUUCCGGCCGUUAAAAAGCCUCUCUUUUUAACCCAAGGUUGACCUCGGAUCAGGUAGGAAGACCCGCUGAACUUAAGC
rnacentral:misc_RNA from 1 species